rnacentral:rRNA from 1 species
UACGAAGGGUGCAAGCGUUACUCGGAAUUACUGGGCGUAAAGCGUGCGUAGGUGGUUCGUUAAGUCUGAUGUGAAAGCCCUGGGCUCAACCUGGGAAUGGCAUUGGAUACUGGGGAUCUAGAGUGCGGUAGAGGGCAGUGGAAUUCCCGGUGUAGCAGUGAAAUGCGUAGAGAUCGGGAGGAACAUCUGUGGCGAAGGCGACUGCCUGGACCAGCACUGACACUGAGGCACGAAAGCGUGGGGAGCAAACAGG